GUGGGGAAUAUUGGUCAAUGGGGGAAACCCUGAACCAGCAACGCCGCGUGAAGGAAGAAGGCUUUCGGGUUGUAAACUUCUUUGACAGGGGACGAAAGCAAUGACGGUACCCUGAAAACAAGCCACGGCUAACUACGUGCCAGCAGCCGCGGUAAUACGUAGGUGGCGAGCGUUGUCCGGAUUUACUGGGUGUAAAGGGCGUGUAGGCGGGGCGGUAAGUCAGAUGUGAAAUGUAGGGGCUCAACCCCUGAAUUGCAUUUGAAACUAUCGUUCUUGAGUGAUGGAGAGGCAGGCGGAAGUCCGUGUGUAGCGGUGAAAUGCGUAGAUAUACGGAGGAACACCAGUGGCGAAGGCGGCCUGCUGGACAUUAACUGACGCUGAGGCGCGAAAGCGUGGGGAGCGAACAGGAUUAGAAACCCUUGUAGUCC
rnacentral:rRNA from 1 species